AAUCAACGCUGGCGGCGCGCUUAACACAUGCAAGUCGAACGAGAAAGGGGAGCAAUCCCUGAGUAAAGUGGCGUACGGGUGAGUAACACGUGGAUCAUCUACCUCUUAGUGGGGAAUAACUCUGGGAAACCGGAGCUAAUACCGCAUAAGCCUGGAAAGGGAAAGCGUUGUCGUAAAAACGACGCGCUGAGAGAGGAGUCCGCGGCCGAUUAGCUAGUUGGCAGGGUAAAAGCCUACCAAGGCAUUGAUCGGUAGCCGGCCUGAGAGGGCACACGGCCACACUGGCACUGAAACACGGGCCAGACUCCUACGGGAGGCAGCAGUGGGGAAUCUUGCACAAUGGGGGCAACCCUGAUGCAGCGACGCCGCGUGAGCGAUGAAGCCCUC
rnacentral:rRNA from 1 species